ACUCCUACGGGAGGCAGCAGUGGGGAAUCUUAGACAAUGGGGGAAGCCCAUCGAUCUAGCCAUGCCGCGUGAGCGAUGAAGGCCUUAGGGUUGUAAAGCUUCUUUCAGCUGGGAAGAUAAUGACGGUGACCAGCAGAAGAAGCCCCGGCUAACUCCGUGCCAGCAGCCGCGGUAAUACGGAGGGGCUAGCGUUGUUCGGAAUUACUGGGCGUAAAGCGCACGUAGGCGGAUUGGUAAGUUGGGGGUGAAAUCCCGGGGCUCAACCCCGGAACUGCCUCCAAAACUCCCGUCUUGAGGUCGAGNGAGGUGAGUGGAAUUCCGAGUGUAGAGGUGAAUUCGUAGAUAUUCGGAGGAACACCAGUGGCGAAGGCGGCUCACUGGCUCGAUACUGCGCUGAGGUGCGAAAGCGUGGGGAGCAAACAGG
rnacentral:rRNA from 1 species